rnacentral:rRNA from 1 species
GUGGGGAAUCUUGCGCAAUGGGCGAAAGCCUGAUCCAGCCAUGCCGCGUGAGUGAUGAAGGCCUUCGGGUUGUAAAGCUCUUUAGCCGAUGAUUAUAAUGACUGUAGUCGGAAAAUAAGCCCCGGCUAACUUCGUGCCAGCAGCCGCGGUAAUACGAAGGGGGCGAGCGUUAUUCGGAAUCACUGGGCGUAAAGCGUGCGUAGGCGGCUUUGCAAGUUGGGAGUGAAAGCCCAGGGCUCAACCCUGGAAUUGCUCUCAAAACUGCAAGGCUCGAAUUCGGGAGAGGAUAGCGGAAUUGUCAGUGUAGCAGUGAAAUGCGUAGAUAUUGACAGGAACACCAGUGGCGUAAGCGGCUAUCUGGACCGAUAUUGACGCUGAGGCACGAAAGCGUGGGGAUCAAACAGGAUUAGAAACCCCGGUAGUCC